rnacentral:lncRNA from 1 species
CAAGUCCUUUCGCGGUGUUGCGGCAACUGCGCAGACGCAGGAGGAGACGGCGGAGGUAAGAGAGGACAAGCGGGCGCGUUUUAAGCGUUCGUGGGAGAGAGUGAGAGUGACGUUUUCUUCAUGCAUACAAGGAGUAGCGCGAGGCCGAUUGGCUCAUCGCAGUGUUUUCAGUUGGUGACACGGUUUCAUUGGUUGUCUGUGACACGCAGCUAUGUGAGCUACUGCGUUGUAAGGACUAGCAGGCAACCGCUCUCAACACUAUUUUAUGCAUCUAUCCCCGCAUAAUUCCACGGGCUAGGAAGCUUCACUUGGCCAUGUUUCUCGCAGCGACCCUUGUGCGCUAAAGUACGUUGUUAAACUGUCGGGAAGUUCUCUCACGUGCUGUUGCUGCGCCAUGCAAACGUGUCUAGGCACAGGCCAAUACUGCCCUGGCCUGCACAUGACAGUGAACAAGACCCCUAUGGCCACCUUCGGGUAUUCCGUGAAAGGCCCCUACCGCUCGGAGCACGUAACAGGAAGUCAUCUUCGACGGCCAAUUCCAUCGUCUGGUGUCCUUGGUUUCGUCGGUGCGUUGAGUCUCGUUGCUGCUAAUUGCCUCUUCCGUCUGUUUUGCUUCGCGGCCUGCGUCUCUGUGGUAAAGCGAAGAGCUGGUGUAGCGAAGCCAUGUUCUUAGAUGAGUGUUACCAUUGAUCGCGCUAUCUUACAUGCGUGUUGCAAUAAGUGAGUUUUCUGGAAUUCUUUGGUGUCGCUUGUUUUCCGUGUACGAGGUUGUUGCUGUCAAUACAAUGAAGCGUCGACAUGGUUUGCGGUUCCCCCUGGACACACGGGCCAGUGUCACAGGCAUCUAUUUUCGCCGCAAUAAGUCCAAUGUAGGACCUGGUGCGUUAUAUUCGUUGGGGAGUAUUCUGGCGGUGAGCGUGGGGGGGUUGUAAGCAUGGCCAGACAGGAGGGGCCUCUGAAGCGUCCACCACGAUGGCUGUGGGACUAUUCACAGGUGCCCGUAUCCAAAUGCGACCGAAUCCGUGAUGCGUUGUGUCAUAUUACGAGGCCUGUGGUCAAGCUAUUUGAUGUCCUGUCUGUUGAGAGGCUUCUCAUAGUGGCGGUUUUUGCGUACGGGAUGUUACUUACGUCUCGUGGUGCGUUUCAUUUUCUCCACUUGCGCUGACUGCGCCUCGUCACCGGUUUUCCACUGGCGCGCCCAGGCGAAAUCGGCAGUAAGGAGUGCUGACAUUGUGAGAGGGGUCGUGGAAAGGUUACACUCUUGUAGAAGAAGAUGAGCAGCCAGAGGUAGGAGCCGUCUCACCCUUCGUGACAGAAUAAAUGCCGAGCGGAGGAAGGGGGACUACUCCAUCGCUUCUGGAAUAUCUGCGGGGACAAUUUUGGUGGAAAGCGGAUAUGCCCACCUCCCGUCUUGGUGAACGGAGUACUGUGCUGGGAGGGCCGGCUCGUGUGGUAUUGCUUCCGGCAUAUCGGUAUAACACUUAUGUAGCAAAUGACUGGUGGCACAGCGGUGGGCAUUGUUAUCCUAAGGGGCUGCCAUAAGCUAGUUCGAGUAAUUUGACGCCGGAAGGCUUGCCCCGGCGAACUCGAUGACAACGAAUCCACGACGUAGGAAUCGCGACCAUUCAUUUGUCACCAACCGUUAGUGACUGGUAAAUAUGAAAUCACUCAAUGUGUUCCCGCAGAAGAGCAAAUCCUCGAAGAAAACGCUGCCUAUCAUUCUUGUCGGAAUUCUCAGUUGUCGCCGUAUUCAGUCGUCGUGUGUAUGUUGACACCGCCGACAUCCAUGGUGUCGUAUUGGUCACUGGUUGAAAUAGGGUGCACCACCUCGUGUAUUUGAUUAUUUUCUUUGUUGCUAAGGCCUAGCCACUGGCAGUAAGGAUGACGUUCUAGACUUUCUUACUUGUGCAGGGAUGAAAGAGUCUGCAGCAGUUCCUCUCAUAGCUCCGCUGCAUGAUGGUCAUUGUCUCUCGCCGCAGAAUUGCACAGUGAAACACUGGACCAAUUGUAAACGGUGGACUAGCAGUGUUGGUGUCGGCUCCAGUGCUCACAUUUCAUGAUAGAAGAGGCGGAGGUAGGCGUGCAUUUCUUGGCCAAGAGGAUGUGUACGCUGAUUGGGGCACGGUUGCUGGGGGAAGGGGUGCUCUAGACGCUGUAGAGGGGAAGAGAACCGUAGGAGAUGGCAGGACGCAAUGCGUCGCGUGCUGCUUGAUGGGGUAGCAUCGCGUCUGUUCAGCUGGGCGCAUGUCACGUCUCUCCGCGACUUGCAACCGAUGACGCGCGACGGGUUCCAGUUGUGCCAAUUGUGUUCACGGGCGUGCGUAUGUUUCAGAAGAUUUUAACGGACCCUUGAUAAAAUUCUGAGAAUAAGAGUGAGGGACAUUCUGACUCUCCUCACGUAUACUGAAUGUGAGACUGCUUACCGGCAACGAAUGUGAAUGUUAACACCCGGUAGUACUGCACCUUCAGGUGUUCCGUUCUUCCGUGUUGCACUCUCCUUCCUGCUAACAAUUCCUUCUCUCGUUUUUUGAUCUUUUGACGGUUCGUGUUGAUAUCCGUGUAGAAGUGAAAGAGGCUGACUCGCCUUACGGAUAUUUCUCGUGAUCUGUUUCCUCUUCAUUCUCGUCUGAUGCGAAAAUUUCGUUUUAUCAUACAACAAUUGCCAGUCGCGUCUGGGGGAGCUCCGUUUGGCUAUUGUUGGGCACGCCUCACACCUGCCACGAAAAUUAAAAUGUGUGGUGGGAAUCAGGAAUCUGUAGCUUGCGGUUCCAGUUGGCUCAGGUCAUCCCUCGUCUACCUUCAGCUAGUACCUGUGAUUGUUCCAAAGUCUUUUCUUCUCCAGCCGUUACUCUUGGAUACACCAGCUGUGUGCGCCAUGUGUGGGUGUUCGACGAUGAAUCCAGCUAGGGAGGGGAACACCAGCGGCUAGAAAAUGUAGGAACGCAGAUGAGCCGGAACGGAGCUAAAUCAGAUGCUUGAUGAAGAAAGGGUGUUCUUGGAGAGAAGUCUUCCAACCUUACACCUAAUUCCACAGAGUUCCUGAGUGGAGACCGAUAUCGCGUCCGGUGGGUUUUUGCUUUAAGAACAAACAAGGGCCGGGUGCCCGAAAAGAUUGCUCGCCAAGCUCGCGUAGAAGAGAAGGGUCUGAGUUAUCAUGAAGGUCUGGCAGCAGACAUCAGCGGAACUAGGACAUGUGGGUGAGAGUGCUAUAGGACGACAUCGGAAGACCAGUCAGCCCAUUCGGUGUCUGCGGAAUGUGUUGUCGUUCAUAGCGAGGCGUCACGGUGGUACGGGUCGAAAGGGGCUGGGCACUAUCGUGGUGUGUAGUAUCGCGUGAAAAGAAUUGUUUUGUGCCUUUCGGGAAUUGAGUACCAGACGCACUGCGGCGAAUGUCACUGGGUUGCUGCGCUGGAGAAGACUGCAGCAGCGUGCUUGAGAGGUUUCAAAUUUCUCUAUGAUGCGCCAAUAUAAUGCUAGACGCCGCGUAAAGACCUGAGACUAGGAUUCUCGUACGGAAGCAUAGGUUGAUGGCGUCGUGUUGGACGAAUUCGUGAAAACGCUUUUCAGGAGAUGUAGGAACGGCCGGAUGAGACAAGCAGUAUAUAGAGCGUGUGUCAGGGUAACGUUGCACAGGAUCUGCCGCGUUUAUCUGAUACCGGAUUGCGCGCGUGCACCCGUAUCGAUCGUCGAAUGGAAACAGAGACUCUUUCGAAGAACGAAAAAAUUGGCGGAAAAAGUCCACGUCCAAAUCUAUCCUAAAUGGAAAGACAAGUCUGUUGAAAACCGGAUGGACGGUAAAUGAGACAAAUAUCGUAUCACAAAGCUGGUGAGCAUGGUACAAUGAUAGGUGCAUGUUGUUUGAUGUGGUUGCCUAGAUAAUAGAGUGGACAUUUCUCUCAUGGCAUGUACCAGUUUGUCCCGCAUAAACUGUCGCUUCCGUCCGUCACUCCUGAGGGCUCUUUUUCGAGCUCGUAGGGAGCUAUCUAAAUGGAGCCCUCUAACGUUAUGGUCAGGUACUACCGUGUGUUCUUACGGCUGACAGGUUACAAUGAAAUGGCUGAGGAGAACGGGACAUAACCGUUGAAAAAAGGUUUGCAUCAAAGAAGCGAAAACUGCAAAGCAAAACAUGUUGUGUAUUUGACAGAGUUGGUGCUGGUGCGCGUGGCUCGCGUGUUGAUGACAGUCGACACCGCCCUCUGUCAUAUCUCCGUCCAGGCGAGUUUGUCGGUGAACAUAUGGUGUUUAUGCUGGUCUCGAUCAAAUAUCCUUAGGGGACGUCUGUAGGUGGCAUCCGUGAGUUUCACGAAUGUGUGCCCACCGUUCUCAGGGUGCCCUGGAGAAUACCACUGAUAUGGUGUGCCCACAAAUGAACAGGACAUGUGCACCAAAUGUAGCGCCACAAUGACUAUGAACGGAAUUAGCACUUUUAAUUCCGUCGUUUUGGGCUGCGGUAAUCAUGCAUUCUUUAUGAAAGUGCAUCGGUCACACCAUAUCCCCAGCGUAAAAAAGCUAUACAAAGUCGGUAACUUGUGGUGACCAUAUCCCAACGAUCACUCCCAUUUUCCAGUAAAUGUAGCCUCCCGAUAAAGCUCUGUAUCCUUAAAUACGUGAAAAUCAGAGACGGAUAUCAUGCUAGAAGCUUGAGACCAGCGGGCUGCUGAUUUUGAAUGAGGAUCGCCCUUUUUCAGUUGUAAGAUCUCCGGGCGUCCGGGUGCUUUACGGUUGUCAGUUAAGUGUGAAGGUGCUGCCCAAACUGAAAAGUUUGAACUCCCAUUGACAUGUGUGUUUCCGUGAGGGGAGAAGCGGGAGGAUGUUUUUGCUCCACUUUUUGCCUGACCCUCAUGACAGUAACCACACGUAUUUAUGUGCGUCCACCUAAAGCAAGAAAGGCUUCUUUAUCGCAGAUCUCUUCUGAUUUUGGGCGUGUUUUUUCGCCUUGGCUCAUUUGUCGUCAGGUGCGUGAAGCAACAUCAGAAGGAAAACAACUUCACUUGUAAUUGCGAACUCGGAAGAAAGCGGCA